GACGAACGCUGGCGGCGUGCCUAAUACAUGCAAGUCGAGCGGACCGAACGAGGGCUUGCUCUUGUUUGGUCAGCGGCGGACGGGUGAGUAACACGUGGGCAACCUGCCCGCAAGACCGGGAUAACUCCGGGAAACCGGAGCUAAUACCGGAUAACACCGAAGACCGCAUGGUCUUCGGUUGAAAGGCGGCCUUUGGGCUGUCACUUGCGGAUGGGCCCGCGGCGCAUUAGCUAGUUGGUAAGGUAACGGCUCACCAAGGCGACGAUGCGUAGCCGGCCGGGGAGGGUGACCGGCCAAACUGGGACUGAGACACGGCCCAGAGUCCUACGGGAGGCAGCAGUAGGGAAUCUUCCGCAAUGGGCGAAAGCCUGACGGAGCGACGCCGCGUGAGCGAAGAAGGCCUUCGGGUCGUAAAGCUCUGUUGUGAGGGACGAAGGAGCGCCGUUUGAAGAAGGCGGCGCGGUGACGGUACCUCACGAGAAAGCCCCGGCUAACUACGUGCCAGCCGCCGCUGUAA
rnacentral:rRNA from 1 species